rnacentral:rRNA from 1 species
UACGAAGGGGGCUAGCGUUGCUCGGAAUUACUGGGCGUAAAGGGCGCGUAGGCGGACAGUUUAGUCAGAGGUGAAAGCCCAGGGCUCAACCUUGGAAAUGCCUUUGAUACUGGCUGUCUUGAGUUCGGGAGAGGUGAGUGGAAUGCCGAGUGUAAGAGGUGAAAUUCGUAGAUAUUCGGCGGAACACCAGUGGCGAAGGCGACUCACUGGCCCGAUA